rnacentral:rRNA from 1 species
UACGAAGGGGGCUAGCGUUGCUCGGAAUCACUGGGCGUAAAGGGUGCGUAGGCGGGUCUUUAAGUCAGGGGUGAAAUCCUGGAGCUCAACUCCAGAACUGCCUUUGAUACUGAAGAUCUUGAGUUCGGGAGAGGUGAGUGGAACUGCGAGUGUAGAGGUGAAAUUCGUAGAUAUUCGCAAGAACACCAGUGGCGAAGGCGGCUCACUGGCCCGAUACUGACGCUGAGGCACGAAGCGUGGGGAGCAAACAGGG